rnacentral:rRNA from 1 species
ACGGGAGGCAGCAGUGAGGAAUAUUGGUCAAUGGGCGAGAGCCUGAACCAGCCAAGUAGCGUGCAGGAUGACGGCCCUAUGGGUUGUAAACUGCUUUUAUGUGGGAAUAAAGUGACUUACGUGUAGGUUUUUGCAUGUACCACAUGAAUAAGGACCGGCUAAUUCCGUGCCAGCAGCCGCGGUAAUACGGAAGGUCCGGGCGUUAUCCGGAUUUAUUGGGUUUAAAGGGUGCGCAGGCGGGAUGUCAAGUCAGUGGUGAAAUGGUGCGGCUCAACCGUAGCAUUGCCGUUGAAACUGGCGUCCUUGAGUGCGAAUGAGGUACGCGGAACGUGUCAUGUAGCGGUGAAAUGCAUAGAUAUGACACAGAACACCGAUUGCGAAGGCAGCGUACUGGGACGCGACUGACGCUGAGGCACGAAAGUGCGGGGAUCGAACAGGAUUAGAUACCCUGGUA